rnacentral:rRNA from 1 species
ACGUGAAACUGCCACGAGGUUAAAGCGAGUGGGCGUAAGUACUCGAGGCGGCUAUUGGCGUCAUUUCCGGGAGUGAAAGGCGCGGAGGCGGUCGGAUCGCCCCUAGGUCGUUCCUCUUUUGGUCGAUCGAAGGGGGGACUUGCCCUUCCGUGAGCGCUUUCUCCUUGGGGUGACCCCGAAGUCGUAGUAGAGCGUCGCGGCCGUUGAAGCGGUGUCGAUGACCCGGGGGCCUGGGAACCGUUGCGCUUCGAGGCGACGCGGGUUCGCCCGUUCGCUUAGUGCGCGGCGGGGACGCUUCGGUGUUCUGGCGGCCGCACCGACGGUUUCACGUGAAGUAUACGGAGCUGUCGAAAUGGGGCGGUGGCGGUGUCCAUGGCGGCGUCCUGGUGAUGGCGUCCGAUGUUGCCGCCGUUCAUUAGUACACGGCAGGGCUAUAAACGCCCGAAAUUCCGUUACGCGGCGCAGGUAUCUGCUGUUGCCUACUCGUCCCGUCUUGAAACACGGACCAAGAAGUCUAGAUUAUGCGCAAGUCAAAGGGUCUACUAAACCCCUAGGCGAAACGAAAGUGAAUGAGGGCGGGAUUUUGCCGUUCGCGGCUCUUUCCCGCUCCGGUGGGCCGAUCCGGUUCGGGGGUAACGCCCCGAUUCGCCUCAAUGCUAGGAGGACGGCGCAGGCCCGGGGCUCGCUGACUCCUUCCCUUCGCCAACGCGCAAGCGGGCGUUAGUACAGGUCGCUCAUCAACGGCCCUCUACCUCUCGCGUCGUUCGUCGUGUCGGUCCCCUUCGRGGGAUCGGUCAUGGCGCGUGGCGACGCGUUUGGAUCCGAGGGUCGGGGAGGCCUCGAAAGCGUCGGCCCGCGGAAGGGUUAGGAUUGCGGGUACCUUGAGCGCAUAAUCUAUGACCCGAAAGAUGGUGAUCUAUGCCUGGCCAGGAUGAAGCCAGAGGAAACUCUGGUGGAAGUCCGAAGCGGUUCUGACGUGCAAAUCGAUCGUCAGAGCUGGGCAUAGGGGCGAAAGACCAAUCGAAC